rnacentral:rRNA from 1 species
UGAGUACAGUGGCGUACGGGUGAGUAACACGUGGGUAAUCUACCUCUUAGUGGGGAAUAACCCUGGGAAACCGGGGAUAAUACCGCAUAAGCCUGAGAAGGGAAAGCAGCAAUGCGCUGAGAGAGGAGCCCGCGGCCGAUUAGCUAGUUGGCAGGGUAAGAGCCUACCAAGGCAGAGAUCGGUAGCCGGCCUGAGAGGGCACACGGCCACACUGGCACUGAAACACGGGCCAGACUCCUACGGGAGGCAGCAGUGGGGAAUCUUGCACAAUGGGGGAAACCCUGAUGCAGCGACGCCGCGUGAGCGAUGAAGCCCUUCGGGGUGUAAAGCUCUUUCGGCAGGGAAGAUAAUGACGGUACCUGCAGAAGCAGCUGCGGCUAACUACGUGCCAGCAGCCGCGGUAAUACGUAGGCAGCAAGCGUUGUUCGGAGUUACUGGGCGUAAAGGGUGUGUAGGCGGUUGUUUAAGUUUGGUGUGAAAUCUCCCGGCUCAACUGGGAGGGUGCGCCGAAUACUGAAUGACUAGAGUGCGGGAGAGGAGAGUGGAAUUCCUGGUGUA